CAGGUGCUGCAUGGCUGUCGUCAGCUCGUGUCGUGAGAUGUUGGGUUAAGUCCCGCAACGAGCGCAACCCUGCCUUAGUUGCCAGCAGUUCGGCUGGGCACUCUAAAGGGACUGCCGGUGUUAAACCGGAGGAAGGUGGGGAUGACGUCAAGUCCUCAUGGCCUUUAUGACCAGGGCUACACACGUACUACAAUGGCCGAUACAAAGGGCGGCGACACUGCGAGGUGAAGCCAAUCCCGUAAAAUCGGUCUCAGUCCGGAUUGGAGUCUGCAACUCGACUCCAUGAAGUUGGAAUCGCUAGUAAUCGUGGAUCAGCAUGCCACGGUGAAUACGUUCCCGGGCCUU
rnacentral:rRNA from 1 species